rnacentral:rRNA from 1 species
UACGUAGGCAGCGAGCGUUGUUCGGAGUUACUGGGCGUAAAGGGUGUGUAGGCGGUCUUUUAAGUUUGGUGUGAAAUCUCCCGGCUUAACCGGGAGGGUGCGCCGAAUACUGAGGGACUAGAGUGCGGGAGAGGAAAGUGGAAUUCCUGGUGUAGCGGUGAAAUGCGUAGAUAUCAGGAGGAACACCGGUGGUGUAGAUGGCUUUCUGGACCGUAACUGACGCUGAGACACGAAAGCGUGGGUAGCAAACAGG